CCUACGGGAGGCAGCAGUAGGGAAUCUUCCACAAUGGGCGAAAGCCUGAUGGAGCAACGCCGCGUGGGUGAAGAAGGUCUUCGGAUCGUAAAACCCUGUUGUUAGAGAAGAAAGUGCGUGCGAGUAACUGUUCACGUUGCUACCGUAUCUAAACAGAAAGCCACGGUUAACUACGUGCCAGCAGCCGCGGUAAUACGUAGGUGGCAAACGUUAUCCGGAUUUAUUGGGCGUAAAGGGAACGCAGGCGGUCUUUUAAGUCUGAUGUGAAAUCCUUCGGCUUAACCGGAGUAGUGCAUUGGAAACUGGGAGACUUGAGUGCAGGAGAGGAGUGUGGAACUCGAGGUGUAGCGGUGAAAUGCGUAGAUAUAAGGAAGAACACCAGUGGCGAAGGCAGCUCUCUGGACUGGAACUGACGCUGAGGUUCGAAAGCGUGGGUAGCAAACAGGAUUAGAUACCCGAGUAGUC
rnacentral:rRNA from 1 species